rnacentral:lncRNA from 1 species
AUCACGAAUGACAAGUAAAAUGCGUGUCAGUAUCGUAAUAUAAUAGUAAUAAAUCAAUGCUGGCUGUGGUGAAGUGUGUGUGGUGAAGUUCACAUAAUACAAAUCAGUGUACAAUUUGCAUCGUGACAAACGAUGGAUAAAACAGAAGGUUAAGACUCGCCACAUUGAACUCACUCACCAAUUAAAUAAAAAUAACUACCUGUCGAAAUAUUGCCUACACUAUGAGUUAUUCUUGAAGUUUUGAUUUCAUAUCAAAGAAAAGGUGCCCCUGUUUUGAUCAUACCCUUCUUAGAUCAAGGUGUUGCUUGGCUUGCAAGAAUAUGAAGUGUAAUUGAACCAUGGAGUUGAAUGUUAUUGAUACGAAAUGAAAAACGAAAUAUUGUGAAGUAUUCAUUCCGUAAGAUAUAAAGCAUCAAUUCCAUCAUAUGUUAUGGGACUCAUGUUUGCAUCUAAGGCCGAAAAUGGAAAUAUAACGAAACCAAUAAAAACAGAUAUGGCUACCUGAUAUUCGUGUCAUGUCAUGUCUAUACGUGUCAAAAAGAAGUCUGAGUGCUCUUUAAAGAAAUUUUGCUGCACCGAGCUCGGAAUUUUCCGGGGUGUAAAUUGUGAUUCCUCAUCGGUUUUCUUAAGAAACCAGUUUACGUUGACGCAAUUUCGUGAUCGUUUUAUGCCAACUAACCACGAAAGAUGUCAAAUAAUUUUCACGUGUAAGAAAAUUGUACACGGAUAGAGAUGCUGCAUUUUCGAAGACAGCUACUUCCACGUCACCGUUGGUCGCUGAUUGUCCCGAAGAUGAAAUUUCAAAAUUUUAAUAAAUUGAAGUGCAUACCUGGGCUCCCUUCUUUUCUGUGGCCCCGUUUCCCCUUGACUCGUAAUAAGCCCGUAGGGGGUCAUGCCCCUACUGUGAUCAGCA